CCGGUUCGGGAACGGUUCGGGAAUGGUUCGGGAAUGGUUCGGGAAUGGUUCGGGAAUGGUUUGGGGCAGUUUGGGAAUGGUUUGGGAUCGCUUCGGGAAUGGUUCGGGAAUGGUUUGGGGCAGUCUGGGGCAGUUUGGGACCGCUUCGGGAAUGAUUCGGGAAUGGUUUGGGAAUGGUUUGGGGCAGUUUGGGACUGGUUUGGGAAUGGUUUGGGACCGGUUCAGGAAUGGUUUGGGAAUGGUUUGGGGCGGUUUGGGACCGGUUUGGGAAUGGUUUGGGACCGGUUCAGGAAUGGUUUGGGGCGGUUUGGGACUGGUUUGGGACUGGUUUGGGACUGGUUCGGGAAUGGUUCGGGAACGGUUCGGGAAUGGUUCGGGAAUGGUUCGGGAACGGUUCGGGAAUGGUUUGGGAAUGGUUUGGGAAUGGUUUGGGGCAGUCUGGGACUGGUUUGGGGCAGUUUGGGACUGGUUCGGGAAUGGUUUGGGAAUGGUUUGGGGCAGUUCGGGGCAGUUUGGGACCGCUUCAGGAAUGGUUCGGGAAUGGUUUGGGAAUGGUUCAGGAAUGGUUCGGGAAUGGUUCGGGACUGGUUUGGCAAUGGUUCGGGAAUGGUUUGGGAAUGGUUCGGGAAUGGUUUGGGAAUGGUUUGGGGCAGUUCGGGGCAGUUUGGGACCGGUUUGGGAAUGGUUUGGGAAUGGUUCGGGAAUGGUUCAGGAAUGGUUUGGGACUGGUUCGGGAAUGGUUUGGGAACGGUUUGGGGCAGUCUGGGACCAGUUUGGGAAUGGUUUGGGACCAGUUUGGGGCGGUUUGCGACUGGUUUGGGACCGGUUUGGGACUGGUUUGGGGCAGUCCGGGACUGGUUUGGGACUGGUUUGGGACCGGUUUGGGACUGGUUUGGGGCAGUUUGGGACUGGUUUGGGACCGGUUUGGGACUGGUUUGGGGCAGUCUGGGACUGGUUUGGGACCGGUUUGGGGCAGUUUGGGACUGGUUUGGGACCGGUUCGGGACUGGUUUGGGACCAGUUUGGGAC
rnacentral:lncRNA from 1 species